CAAAGUGCUUACAGUGCAGGUAGUGUCUAAAAUCUACUGCAGUGGAGGCACUUCAAGC
rnacentral:pre_miRNA from 1 species